CGCACAGCGCCGCCCGCGGGGACCCGCACACCCCGCCCAGCGCGGGCCGGGCCCGGAGCCGCCGGUGCAGGCACGGCGGGAGCGGAGGAGGGCUGCUGGUGGCGUUCGGGCACCUUCCGGCUGCUGCUGGUCUCUCUCAGGUCCGGCGCUGUCCCGGCGGAACCACGGAAUGGUUUGGGUGGGAAGAGAUCUUCACGUCCAACUCUGACUCCGGCGCUACCAGGGCACCACCGUUUGGUAGCGCCCAGCACCUCAUCUCCACGGCUCGGAAACUCCUCCAGCCAUGGGGACUCUGCCACUGCCCUGGGCAGCCUCCAACAGGCCUUGACAGCCCUAAAGGGCAAGAAAUUGUUUCUCAUGUCCAACCUAACCCCCCCUCCCCAGGGCAACUUGAGGCCAUUUCCUCUUGUCCUGUCACUUGUUCCUUGGGAGAAGAGACAAGCCCCACCUGGCUCCAGCCUCCUUUCAGGGAGCUGUAGAGAGCCAGGUGGUCUUUCAGCCUCAUUUUCUCCAGACCAGACAACACCAGGUCCCUCAGCUGCUCCUCACCAGACCUGCUCUCCAACUUCCUUGCCCUUCUCUAGCCUUGCUCCAGCCCCUCCACGCCCUCCUUGGAGUGAGGACCCCGAACUGACCCCAGGAUUCAAGGUUGCAGCCUCACCAGUGCAAGCAAGGGACAAUCACUUCCCCACAGCUGUGGGAUCAGGGGAGGCUCCUCUGUGCUGCCCGUGCCAGGGGAGCAGAUAUCUCAUCUGGGUGCCAGACAGGAGGAGUCUGGCAGAACUGGGUCACAGAGAUACAGCGUGACCUUUCGAAGGCAUCGAGGUCCGACGCCAUCCUCAAUUCCACCGCCACCACUGCCUCCUGCCGCGGCGCUGCUGCCACCGCCUCUAACUGCCUGUAGCCGCCAGGCGGCGCUGCUGGGUCAGAGCUCAGGCAGCUGCUGCCCCUCUGCCUGCGCCCCCCGCGCACUGGGCUCACUCUGGCUGCAGGCUGGGCACGGUGCUGAGGGGGCCCCCAGCAGCUGCAGGGCUGGGGAUCCAGGGGAAAGGGAGGGGGGGGGAUGGAAUGUGAGGGGCUUGAGCAGCAGGGCACUUUGUCCAGGGUGAGCAAGAGCUGUUUUAUGGGAGUAGGUGUUGCAGAAACUAAGUGUUUAAAAAGAAGGAUUUAAUAAAGGUUGCAGUCCAUGU